GCCAAAUGAUGUUUCCAUUUGGAGAAGUGAGCGCUUUGCGCCAUGAUGACCUUUAUCUAUCACCCUGGACUGAUGGCU